AGAGUUUGAUCCUGGCUCAGGAUGAACGCUAGCUACAGGCUUAACACAUGCAAGUCGAGGGGCAGCAUGGUCUUAGCUUGCUAAGGCCGAUGGCGACCGGCGCACGGGUGAGUAACACGUAUCCAACCUGCCGUCUACUCUUGGACAGCCUUCUGAAAGGAAGAUUAAUACAAGAUGGCAUCAUGAGUCCGCAUGUUCACAUGAUUAAAGGUAUUCCGGUAGACGAUGGGGAUGCGUUCCAUUAGAUAGUAGGCGGGGUAACGGCCCACCUAGUCUUCGAUGGAUAGGGGUUCUGAGAGGAAGGUCCCCCACAUUGGAACUGAGACACGGUCCAAACUCCUACGGGAGGCAGCAGUGAGGAAUAUUGGUCAAUGGGCGAGAGCCUGAACCAGCCAAGUAGCGUGAAGGAUGACUGCCCUAUGGGUUGUAAACUUCUUUUAUAAAGGAAUAAAGUCGGGUAUGGAUACCCGUUUGCAUGUACUUUAUGAAUAAGGAUCGGCUAACUCCGUGCCAGCAGCCGCGGUAAUACGGAGGAUCCGAGCGUUAUCCGGAUUUAUUGGGUUUAAAGGGAGCGUAGAUGGAUGUUUAAGUCAGUUGUGAAAGUUUGCGGCUCAACCGUAAAAUUGCAGUUGAUACUGGAUAUCUUGAGUGCAGUUGAGGCAGGCGGAAUUCGUGGUGUAGCGGUGAAAUGCUUAGAUAUCACGAAGAACUCCAAUUGCGAAGGCAGCCUGCUAAGCUGCAACUGACAUUGAGGCUCGAAAGUGUGGGUAUCAAACAGGAUUAGAUACCCUGGUAGUCCACACGGUAAACGAUGAAUACUCGCUGUUUGCGAUAUACUGCAAGCGGCCAAGCGAAAGCGUUAAGUAUUCCACCUGGGGAGUACGCCGGCAACGGUGAAACUCAAAGGAAUUGACGGGGGCCCGCACAAGCGGAGGAACAUGUGGUUUAAUUCGAUGAUACGCGAGGAACCUUACCCGGGCUUAAAUUGCAGAUGAAUUACGGUGAAAGCCGUAAGCCGCAAGGCAUCUGUGAAGGUGCUGCAUGGUUGUCGUCAGCUCGUGCCGUGAGGUGUCGGCUUAAGUGCCAUAACGAGCGCAACCCUUGUUGUCAGUUACUAACAGGUUCUGCUGAGGACUCUGACAAGACUGCCAUCGUAAGAUGUGAGGAAGGUGGGGAUGACGUCAAAUCAGCACGGCCCUUACGUCCGGGGCUACACACGUGUUACAAUGGGGGGUACAGAGGGCCGCUACCACGCGAGUGGAUGCCAAUCCCAAAAACCUCUCUCAGUUCGGACUGGAGUCUGCAACCCGACUCCACGAAGCUGGAUUCGCUAGUAAUCGCGCAUCAGCCACGGCGCGGUGAAUACGUUCCCGGGCCUUGUACACACCGCCCGUCAAGCCAUGGGAGCCGGGGGUACCUGAAGUGCGUAACCGCGAGGAGCGCCCUAGGGUAAAACUGGUGACUGGGGCUAAGUCGUAACAAGGUAGCC
rnacentral:rRNA from 1 species